AUAUAUAUAUAUAUAUGUUAGGGUUACUAUACUCUUAUGUGUAUAGACCCCCUUUAUACUCAUAAGUUGUUUAUAAUGAUGGAGCUUCCGAAUCGACGAUCUACUCCAUUAAAUAUGAUCUAGAGUAUUUGAAACUUUUAGAAAAUAAAUUUCGUAAUUUUUCGAAAUCAUAAUAAAGUUCAUCAAGCGGGUAUAAAAUGAACGGUCAAAAUCGAACGACGUCUUAAAAAUGAAUGAUCGGAUUCUUCAAUUUAAGAUCGGAGUUAUUGAUAUUUAUUUAUAUAGUGAAUAAAAUUUUCUAUCAAAGAUUCAACCAAUUUCGAUUCAUUUACACCGUUAAACUAGCAAUAUUCCAUACCGAAUGUUAAAAAUUAUUAAUUUUGUGACAUUUUGAUCGUAAGGUAAAUGAUGUCGAAAAAUUAUAAAAUUUGAUUUCUAGAUGUUUUAAAUGCUCUAGAUAAUGUUUAACGGUAUGGAUCGUCGAUUCGGAAGCUCUAUCAUCGAAAACAACUUAUAAGAUCGUACUCAUAAAAGUACAGUAGCCAGACUCUCUCUCUCUCUAUAUAUAUAUAUAUUGAUCUGAUAUACUCUUAUCUGAUUUAAAACUUUUGCUUAUACUGCAGUA
rnacentral:lncRNA from 1 species